UCUAGCCAAAUGUCUGGGCAGUGCUUGCAGGACCACAGGUGCCUCAAGUUGUAGUUUCUGGAGGUCAGGAUCCACCAGGAAGAGGCCAGAAGCAGAAAGGCUUGGUUUCAUCUGUUGAAGACUUGCCUCAAGUGUCUGGAGAUUCUCAGAUUUCUGUUCACAGUGAAGCAUGAGGCAUCCAAAGGCUGAUGGGAAGCUCCUCUCUCCAGUUACCCAUGGUCAGGAAGCAGAUAGUCUUCCUUCUGAAGAACCAACAGAAGGUCUUCAACACUCUCCUCGACCGCCCUUUCAAAGAUGAUGCGCUGACCCAAUUUGAAACUACAGCUAUCCUGAAUCCAGGUUCUUCCAAUCUACUUUCUUUAGUUUGGAUGCCUCUCCUAAGUAAAUUGGUAGGAUGAAGACUUUUAGUUGCCUUAAAUCUUCCAUUUAUCUAUUCAGAAGAUACGGUGUGGUAUUGUGCAGGGCUUCCCAGUCUUUUAGAUUCUACAA